rnacentral:rRNA from 1 species
AGAGUUUGAUCCUGGCUCAGGAUGAACGCUGGCGGCGUGCCUAACACAUGUAAGUCGAACGUGAGGUCUUAGCAAUAGGGCUGAAAGUGGCGGACGGGUGAGUAACGCGUGGAAACCUACCUUGGCGUGGGGGAUAACCAUUGGAAACGGUGGCUAAUACCGCAUAGGUCUACCUUGGGUGAGCUGGGGUGGAUAAAGCUUUAGUGCGACAAGAGGGGUCUGCGUCCGAUUAGCUAGUUGGUGGGGUAAAGGCCUACCAAGGCGAUGAUCGGUAGCUGGUCUGAGAGGAUGAUCAGCCACACGGGAACUGAGACACGGUCCCGACUCCUACGGGGGGCAGCAGUGAGGAAUAUUGCACAAUGGGGGCAACCCUGAUGCAGCAACGCCGCGUGGAGGAUGAAGGCCUUCGGGUUGUAAACUCCUUUUUUCAGGGAAGAGAUGGGACGGUACCUGGAGAAUAAGUCACGGCUAACUACGUGCCAGCAGCCGCGGUAAUAC